CUAUCCUCUUCGUCGGCAGCGUCAGAUGUGUAUAAGAGACAGAUGUACAAUCAUGAUCACCGUAUGUUCAAGGGUUUCUGCGUCCUGGUUUACAGCGCAGAGUUAUGUCCGGUCCCUAAGAGACACACGCACUCGUGUGCUUAAUGGAUGUCAUUUAUGUAAGACGGUACGUACUUCUAAAAACUACAAUUGGAUAUGGUGUAUAGUAAGUAGGUAUCCAGGAAAAUUCAUAAAUAUAUUGACCGUACCCUAAACCGACACAGGUGAACGAGUCGAAUAGACUCAGGUGAUGAGAGAACCACAUUGAAGGAACUCGGCAAAAUAUUCCCGUACCUUAGGAAGAAGGGAAGCCAAAAAUGGUGACACAAAAAUGGGGGUGACGACUUUUUACUAAAAAAUUAGGACUCUGCUAAAUGGUAACAUGACGUAUAGGGUCUGACGUCUGCCCGGUGCUAGAAGUAUAAAAGGAGUGUUGAAAGAUACGAAUGGAAAGCCUAGUAAACGGCGGUUGUAACUAUAACAAUCAUAAAGUAGCGAAAUUCAUUGCCAGCUAAUUCCUGGCCUGCAUGAAAGACGUAACGAUUGCCCCACUGUCUCCAGUGUGGACUCAGUGAAAUUGAAUUCUCCGUGCAGAUGCGGAGUACGUGCCCCAAGACGAGAAGACCCUGUGCAUCUUUACUGUACAUUUACAUUGACAAAACCAUACGUAUGUGUAGGAUAGGUGGGAGUACAAACAUCCUUGAAAUACCACCCUUACUAUGUUUUUUGUCUAACAUCGGAGAUAGACAAUGUAUGUGAGGCAGUUUGACUGGGGCGGUCGCCUCCUAAAGAGUAACGGAGGCGUGCGAAGGUAAACUCAAUGUAGAUCGGAAACCUACUGAAGAGCGUAAUGGUAUAUGUUUGCCUGACUGCAAGAUUUACAGAUCGAGCAGAGACGAAAGUCGGUCAUAAUGAUCCACAAGUACUGCGUGGAAAGGCUUGUGCUUAACGAAUCAAAGAUACGCCAGGGAUAACAGGCUGAUAAUUCCCUAGAGUCCAUAUCGACGGAAUUGUUUGGCACCUCGAUGUUGACUGAUCAUAUCCUGGGGCUGAAAAAGGUCCCAAGGGUUCGGCUGUUCGCCGAUAAAAAUGGUACCUGAGUUGAGUUUAGAACGUCGUGAGACAGUUUGGAUUCUACCUGGGGUGCGCAUAAGAAUUGAGAAAACCACAUCCUUGUACGAGAGGACCGGAUGUGUACAACCUAUGGUAUAGUAAUUGUCCGGCCACGGGCAUGGUUACUACGCUACGUUGUGAAAGGAUAAGUACUGAAAGCAUAUCAAGUACGAAACUUUUUUCAAGACAUAUUCUUUAUCGUAUUGUAUAUCGUACAAGUUGAGUACGUUAAUAGAUAAGCUGUGUAUUAUCUGUCUCUUAUACACAUCUGACGCUGCCGACGAAGAGGAUAGUGUA
rnacentral:rRNA from 1 species